UACGUAGGGUGCGAGCGUUAAUCGGAAUUAUUGGGCGUAAAGGGCGCGUAGGCGGUGCGGUAAGUCACCUGUGAAAACUCUGGGCUCAACUCAGAGCCUGCAGGCGAAACUGCCGUGCUGGAGUGUGGGAGAGGUGCGUGGAAUUCCCGGUGUAGCGGUGAAAUGCGUAGAUAUCGGAAGGAACACCUGUGGCGAAAGCGGCUCACUGGACCAUUACUGACGCUGAGGCGCGAAAGCUAGGGGAGCAAACAGG
rnacentral:rRNA from 1 species